rnacentral:rRNA from 1 species
AUUGAGCGCUGGCGGCAGGCCUAACACAUGCAAGUCGAGCGGAUGAGGAGAGCUUGCUCUCUGAUUUAGCGGCGGACGGGUGAGUAAUGCCUAGGAAUCUGCCUGGUAGUGGGGGAUAACGUUCCGAAAGGAACGCUAAUACCGCAUACGUCCUACGGGAGAAAGCAGGGGACCUUCGGGCCUUGCGCUAUCAGAUGAGCCUAGGUCGGAUUAGCUAGUUGGUGAGGUAAUGGCUCACCAAGGCGACGAUCCGUAACUGGUCUGAGAGGAUGAUCAGUCACACUGGAACUGAGACACGGUCCAGACUCCUACGGGAGGCAGCAGUGGGGAAUAUUGGACAAUGGGCGAAAGCCUGAUCCAGCCAUGCCGCGUGUGUGAAGAAGGUCUUCGGAUUGUAAAGCACUUUAAGUUGGGAGGAAGGGUUGUAGAUUAAUACUCUGCAAUUUUGACGUUACCGACAGAAUAAGCACCGGCUAACUUCGUGCCAGCAGCCGCGGUAACAC